rnacentral:rRNA from 1 species
UAUUGCACAAUGGGGGAAACCCUGAUGCAGCGACGCCGCGUGAGUGAAGAAGUAUUUCGGUAUGUAAAGCUCUAUCAGCAGGGAAGCAAGAAAUGACGGUACCUGACAAAGAAGCCCCGGCUACCUACGGGCAAGCAGCCGCGGUAAUACGUAGGGGGCAAGCGUUAUCCGGAAUUACUGGGUGUAAAGGGUGCGUAGACGGUAAUGUAAGUCUGGAGUGAAAGGCGGGGGCCCAACCCCCGGACUGCUCUGGAAACUAUGUUACUAGAGUGCAGGAGAGGUAAGCGGAAUUCCUAGUGUAGCGGUGAAAUGCGUAGAUAUUAGGAGGAACACCAGUGGCGAAGGCGGCUUACUGGACUGUAACUGACGUUGAGGCUCGAAAGCGUGGGGAGCAAACAG